rnacentral:rRNA from 1 species
GAUGAACGCUGGCGGCGUGCCUAAUACAUGCAAGUCGAGCGAACAGACGAGGAGCUUGCUCCUCUGACGUUAGCGGCGGACGGGUGAGUAACACGUGGAUAACCUACCUAUAAGACUGGGAUAACUUCGGGAAACCGGAGCUAAUACCGGAUAACAUGUUGAACCGCAUGGUUCAACAGUGAAAGACGGUCUUGCUGUCACUUAUAGAUGGAUCCGCGCCGCAUUAGCUAGUUGGUAAGGUAACGGCUUACCAAGGCAACGAUGCGUAGCCGACCUGAGAGGAUGAUCGGCCACACUGGAACUGAGACACGGUCCAGACUCCUACGGGAGGCAGCAGUAGGGAAUCUUCCGCAAUGGGCGAAAGCCUUACGGAGCAACGCCGCGUGAGUGAAGAAGGUCUUCGGAUCGUAAAACUCUGUUAUUAGGGAAGAACAAAUGUGUAAGUAACUAUGCACGUCUUGACGGUACCUAAUCAGAAAGCCACGGCUAACUACGUG